GACGAAGGGGGCUAGCGUUGUUCGGAAUUACUGGGCGUAAAGCGCGCGCAGGCGGCAGUGCAAGUAAGGUGUGAAAUCUCCCUGCUCAACGGGGAGGGUGCAUUUUAGACUGCACAGCUAGAGGUCGGUAGAGGGGGGUGGAAUUGCUGGUGUAGCGGUGAAAUGCGUAGAGAUCAGCAGGAACACCCGUGGCGAAGGCGGCCCCCUGGGCCGUACCUGACGCUGAGGCGCGAAGGCUAGGGGAGCGAACGGG
rnacentral:rRNA from 1 species